UCACCGGGAACGUAUUAGUUA
rnacentral:miRNA from 1 species